AGGACGAACGCUGGCGGCGUGCUUAACACAUGCAAGUCGAACGGGGUGAUUUAAGCUUGCUUAGAUGAGCCUAGUGGCAAACGGGUGAGUAACGCGUAGGCAACCUGCCUCUAAGAUGGGGACAACAGUCCGAAAGGACUGCUAAUACCGAAUGUUGUGAGUUUUCCGCAUGGGAGACUCAUUAAAGAUGGCCUCUACUUGUAAGCUAUCACUUAGAGAUGGGCCUGCGUCUGAUUAGCUAGUUGGCGGGGUAACGGCCCACCAAGGCGACGAUCAGUAGCCGGUCUGAGAGGAUGAACGGCCACAUUGGGACUGAGACACGGCCCAGACUCCUACGGGAGGCAGCAGUGGGGAAUCUUCCGCAAUGGGCGAAAGCCUGACGGAGCAACGCCGCGUGAGUGAAGAAGGUCUUCGGAUCGUAAAGCUCUGUCGAAGGGGACGAACGUGGGUUCUAUCAACAACGGAACCUAAUGACGGUACCUUUCAAGAAAGCCACGGCUAACUACGUGCCAGCCGCGGC
rnacentral:rRNA from 1 species